rnacentral:ncRNA from 1 species
CGGCUGGCGGGAGGCUCUGACACGCGCUCCAAACACCGGCCGCCGGGACCGCGUCGAGCCACUGGCGAGACCGACCCGCGAGUGC